rnacentral:rRNA from 1 species
GCUUGUCUCAAAGAUUAAGCCAUGCAUGUCUAAGUAUAAACAAAUCUAUACUGUGAAACUGCGAAUGGCUCAUUAUAUCAGUUAUAGUUUAUUUGAUAGUCCCCACUACUUGGAUAACCGUAGUAAUUCUAGAGCUAAUACAUGCGUCAAGUCCGGACCGCGCGAGCGGGAAGGAUGUGUUUAUUAGAUACAACCAACCCUUCGGGUUCCUGGUGAGUCAUAAUAACCGAACGAACCGUAUGCGCAAGCGACGGUGGUUCAUUCAAGUUUCUGCCCUAUCAGCUUUCGAUGGUAGGGUAUUGGCCUACCAUGGCGUUAACGGGUAACGGAGAAUUAGGGUUCGAUUCCGGAGAGGGAGCCUGAGAGAUGGCUACCACAUCCAAGGAAGGCAGCAGG